CAAAAAAAAAAAAUCUGCAGCACAUUUAUAUGGUUGUAAAUGACUGUCUAUAGUGUAUAAAAAAGUAAAUAUUUAUAAUAAUAGGUGCAUUUAUCCUUAUAAGUUGAAUCUUAAGAGUUUGCCUCCCUCUUAGAAGCAGGUAUACACAUGAAAUCAACACAAAGGUCAAAACGUUGCCACGGAUAGAUCUGCGAUGAAAGGGUUAGCACAAAGUAAAAAGCAGGGGGAAAAGUAUCUCCUGUGAGGACCAUAUCCAUCUGAAGCAAUGGCUAGAGAGAGAAAUAAAUCCACCUGUCCGACCAGAGUGGAGAGGCAGAGAAGGAGACAACUUCACACCAGAAUUAAACCAAGGCGUUAAAGUCUAAAGUGAGCUUUAAACCAUUAAUGAACGGUGACAUUAAAUGAACGCGUUCUCAGCUGAACAGAUUUAGAGUCCAAACAUAGAAUACACCGGAGUGAGCAGCAGCUCUCGCGUAAUGUUCAAAGCAGAUUUUGUGAAGGUAGUGCGUUAGGGAGUAAACCUGUAAACAGUCGGGAGCUCGGAGCGUCUUUAUGGUGCGUUCACACCAAACGCGAUUUUGUCGCGUCGCGCGAGCAACUCCCAUGGAAAGUCAAUGUGUAGAUGCGAAUUCGCGCCGGGCGACGCCUUUGAAGCGACACGCGACUAGAUUGAUGCGAAUUUCGCGUCUAUCGCGUCUUCGCGCGAGUUCAAAAUAUUCAACUACAGCGACAAAUUCGCGUGACGCUGUGGCGCGAUGGCCAACCAGCAUCGGGAGGAGACGCUGACGAGGAUUACGUCGGAAAGAGGGACUGGACUUCUUUCGAAAGUCUGCUUGUCAACUCGGUUUGUUGACGUGCAGGACUCGAGCCAAGGAGCAGAUGAACUUUAUGAAAGUCAUUAAAACGCUGGAAUAUCCGAGGAAUAACGCCGAAUGAAAGGGGAAAGUCUCCGGGACACGUACAUGUGGGAGAGAGGGAGAUGGAGCCAGAGGAAGCACUGCAGCUGGUCGGAUAAAUAACGUGACGCCCGUCUCUUCCGCAUCCCUCCGCAGACAGAGAGAGGCGAGCGGUGAAGCCAGGAGAGAGGAAGGCCGCCGAUGACAGACCAGGACCAGGGGAAGAACGGACCCCUUGGGACAGAGCAGGACGAGCCGAGGACCAGAGAACAGAUACAGAAAGAGGGGAGGCAUCUGGAACCUCACUGUCUAUCACAGGGUGAAAGAUGACAAGGAAAUCCACCAGAGAGGAGAGUGAUGCUGCCUCUGCAAGCUUUGAGGCCUCAUCUGCCAGCCACCUAGCUUUUUGUCAGACACCCUGGUCCCCCCAUGCAAAGGCUGCUGAUCCACCCAAAGGAAUGUUAUAUUCCAAAUCAUAAACUAAUUUAUAAAUCAGGCAAUGUGUUACUUAAUGUGGAAACAUUUGAACCGAGUAACUGGGGCAACAGUCUUUGUAGGGACUGAGUAAGGUUUCCGUUAUCUAUUUUUUAUCUUUCCCCCAAACACAGACACAUCUCAUAUCCUCAUCAUUCCACUUGUGUUGGUCAACAAUUCAAAGGUGUCUUUGUUUAAAGUCUGCAAAAUAAAGGCACUGAAUGUUGUUCAAAA